AUUGAACGUUGGCGGCAUGCUUUACACAUGCAAGUCGAACGGUAACAGGUUAAGCUGACGAGUGGCGAACGGGUGAGUAAUGCAUCGGAACGUGCCCGAUCGUGGGGGAUAACGCAGCGAAAGCUGCGCUAAUACCGCAUACGAUCUGAGGAUGAAAGCGGGGGACCGUAAGGCCUCGCGCGAUCGGAGCGGCCGAUGUCAGAUUAGGUAGUUGGUGGGGGAAAGGCCCACCAAGCCGACGAUCUGUAGCUGGGCUGAGAGGACGACCAGCCACACGGGGACUGAGACACGGCCAAGACUCCUACGGGAGGCAGCAGUGGGGAAUUUUGGACAAUGGGCGAAAGCCUGAUCCAGCAAUGCCGCGUGCAGGAAGAAGGCCUUCGGGUUGUAAACAGCUUUUGUACGGAGCGAAAAGGUCCUUUCUAAUACAAGGGGCUCAUGACGGUACCGUAAGAAUAAGCACCGGCUAACUACGUGCCAGCAGCCGCCGUAA
rnacentral:rRNA from 1 species